UUCCAAUUUGCUUCUUAUGAUCUCUGGAGGCUAAACCAAGCAUGUCUUCAGAGUAAUCCAGUGUGCAGAUGGCCAUCCAUUACGCCAGACUUAAAGGAGCAUGCCCCAGAUUGGGACAGCAUGACUGAGCAUUCAGCUGAAAGGUCACGCAAGAAUCCAGCAUGUCUCACGGAAAGAUCUCACAGGAGCUGCAGGUAACUCUCCUAAAGCACAGUCUACUCUCAGAUACUGCCAGAAGGAAGAUUCCAUCCAGAAACCGUGCACCUAAGGAUGCUAAUCAACUUGUUUUCCCCCCUCCAGGUGGUUAUGACUCUAAAAAUGUCUGAAAUUGGUUUCAUUAGCCAUUGCAUCCAAGUAUGAGCUAUGCUCAGUUGCUCGCAGAUACUCUGUGAUGGCAGACAUUAGAGACCCCGAAAUGGCAGCUGUUCAAAAUCUGCCUUCACUCAGAUUCAGUUCCAUGGAAAGAGAUCCAUGAGUGAGAUUUGGACACUAUCAGCCGAGAUUGACCCACAAAACCACAGUCGCAAGACUCUUACUCUCAGGAGGACCCAGUGCGGGGGCCUCAUCUGCUGACACUGGGCUCACUGCAGGCGAUGGCAGGAUUCCUAGGGAACUGUGAACCCUGUGGAUGCUGGUCUGUUCUCUUCUGACCAGUGUCCAGACCAAGGCCCUCUUUUACAAUAAGGAAGUGGGGAAUAGCUUGUGGUAUCAGGUGGGUUUGCUUAUCACAACAGUCAGUGUGGAGUGAUUCCAAAGUUCACACACACACACAUGCAGACACACAAACACACAUCUCUAAGUACCAUGCUCUCAUUUUUGUAGAGAAACAGGGCCUAAAUUCCUCUCUUUGUUAACUGUAUAUGUCUCCUCAUAACAAUGGCUGCAUUAGUCUGGGUUCUCUUGAGAAACAGAAUCAAUAGGAUAUAUACAGGGUUUCCUAACAAGCUGUUAUGUCAGAUGAACAGUCACAUUUAAUUUCUGUCUUCCUAAUCCAUGUUCAGAGAGCAGUGGCAAGUCCAGCGUGUAGCAUACUGAAGGAAAUAGGUAGCCCACCCAUAGUGAAGAAGUUUCGUGAAGA
rnacentral:lncRNA from 1 species